GAUGAAGAACGCAGCGAAAUGCGAUACGUAAUGUGAAUUGCAGAAUUCAGUGAAUCAUCGAAUCUUUGAACGCACAUUGCGCCUGCCAGCACUCUGGCAGGCAUGCCUGUUCGAGCGUCAUUUCAACCAUCAAGCCCUAGGCUUGCGUUGGAGCCCUGCGGCUGCCGCAGGCCCCUAAAAGCAGUGGCGGGCUCGCUAUCACACCGAGUGCAGUAGAUUACUCUUCGCUCAGGGCGUGUGGCGGGUUCCAGCCGUGAAACCCCCUACUUCUCAAGGUUGACCUCGGAUCAGGUAGGGAUACCCGCUGAACUUAAGCAUAUCAAUAAGCGGAGGA
rnacentral:misc_RNA from 1 species